GGCUCGGUAGCUUAGUUGGUAAACCACUUGUCUAGCGAAUAAGGGUCGUGAGUUCAAAUCUCACCUGGGCUG
rfam:Aedes albopictus isolate Foshan contig111393, whole genome shotgun sequence.